AACUGCGACUGGGAUUGUGAUUGU
rnacentral:siRNA from 1 species